CAGUUUCUUAAAGGCUGAAUACCUAGACAUAUCUUCCUACAACAAAGGAAUAGAUUAUGACUCAGGGGAUAUAAAUUUACUGAAGCCAACAAAAGUUUCUUCCUUUUCUUAAAUAUAUAUAGAUGGCAUAUUACAUUUCUGGCUGAAAAGGAUGAAAUUGUGAUUUUCCCCUGAACAUAAGAUAAUACUGAAUAUUAUUUCCCCAAAGACAACAAAUAUUAAUACUGAAUAUUAUCAUUUCUACUCAAAAUAGUCUCAGAAUUUGUCAGUGUUGUGCACAUGAUUUUCUAAUAGUAGAAUUUUAAGUCUAAAU
rnacentral:lncRNA from 1 species